AAAAGCUUUAUUUUAAAUAUAUUUUAAAAAUUAAUUAUAAAUAGUAAAUUAAAUAUAAAAAUUAACUGGGGUAGUUGUUUCAAAAAAAUUGAAAUUUUUUUACAGUUUUAAAUAAAUGGUUUAAGUUCUUUUAGAUAAGGAAAAUUAGUGUUAGUUACUUU
rnacentral:rRNA from 1 species